rnacentral:misc_RNA from 1 species
AGCUUCAAGCUUCCCAAAUGGCUUCAGUACCUUUUUCCAUAUUGUGGUGUCAAGAACUUUAGGUGGGUAUGGUAUUAUAUUGUUUGGUUCAUCCACAAAUAGUUUUGGUGAUUUUUGUGCUAAUGAACUUGUUGAUUUAAUUUGGGGGUUGCAGGGGAAUCCCAUUGAUUGGGUUAGCAUACAUAGGUAGCACCAUCAACUUUGUGAUUAUGAGAGGGGAGGUUUUUAAGGGUAGUUUAGUCUUUUUAUUUUUUUAUUUUUUAUUU